UAAAGGUACCCGUACCGCAAACCGACACAGGUGGGUGAGGAGAGUAUCCUAAGGCCUGCGAGCGGACUGUUGUUAAUGAGCUCGGCAAAAGGACCCCGUAACUUAGGGAGAAGGGGUGACACCAUCAGGUGGCCGAAGAGAAUAGGCCCAAGCGACUGUGUACAAAAAACAUAGGUUUCUGCUAAGUCGCAAUACGAUGUAUAGGAGCUGACGCCUGCCCGGGGCUGGAAGGUUAAGGGGAUCUGUUAGAGCAAUCGAAGCAGUUAACUUAAGCCCCAGUAAACGGCGGCCGUAACUAUAACGGUCCUAAGGUAGCGAAAUUCCUUGUCGGGUAAGUUCCGACCCGCACG
rnacentral:rRNA from 1 species